rnacentral:pre_miRNA from 1 species
AGCCUUCUGUAUCCGUGCUGAGAUUUCAUCAGCUAUCAACCUACUGGCACUAGCUGAUGCAACUCCCCAAAUAAGUGAAGUG